GACGAACGCUGGCGGCGUGCUUAACACAUGCAAGUCGAACGGAAAGGCCCUGCUUUUGUGGGGUGCUCGAGUGGCGAACGGGUGAGUAACACAUGAGUAACCUGCCCUUGACUUUGGGAUAACUUCAGGAAACUGGGGCUAAUACCGGAUAGGAGCUCCUGCUGCAUGGUGGGGGUUGGAAAGUUUCGGCGGUUGGGGAUGGACUCGCGGCUUAUCAGCUUGUUGGUGGGGUAGUGGCUUACCAAGGCUUUGACGGGUAGCCGGCCUGAGAGGGUGACCGGCCACAUGGGGACUGAGAUACGGCCCAGACUCCUACGGGAGGCAGCAGUGGGGAAUAUUGCACAAUGGGCGGAAGCCUGAUGCAGCAACGCCGCGUGCGGGAUGACGGCCUUCGGGUUGUAAACCGCUUUCGCCUGUGACGAAGCGUGAGUGGCGGUAAUGGGUAAAGAAGCACCGGCUAACUACGU
rnacentral:rRNA from 1 species